CAUUGCCAUAACUCACAGUUGCCGUAAACUGGGUCCUCUGGUCUAAUAGAAUCUCCCUAGGUAAGCCUACCCUAGUAAAAAAAAAUCACUAGGACUUCUGCCACAGUCUCUGCCUCUAUGUUAGAAAGGGCUACACCCUUCGGUUAUCUAGUAGACUAAUCUACCGUAAGGAUAUAGCUCUUUCCCGAGGUGAAGGGGGCUUAAUAAGUCCACCACUACCCAGUAGAAUGG